CGACCCCAGGUCAGGCGGGACUACCCGCUGAGUUUAAGCAUAUAAAUAAGCGGAGGAGAAGAAACCUACGAGGAUUCCCCUA
rnacentral:rRNA from 1 species